rnacentral:tRNA from 1 species
GAUGUUGCGUGGGGUUAGAUCCAGUUACCUUGAUGUGGUAAAGAUCAGAAGGAAAUUUCUCAACAUUU